CACGUAGGGCGCGAGCGUUGUCCGGAAUUAUUGGGCGUAAAGAGCUCGUAGGCGGCCUGUUGCGUCCGCUGUGAAAGCCCGGGGCUUAACCCCGGGUCUGCAGUGGAUACGGGCAGGCUAGAGGUAGGUAGGGGAGAAUGGAAUUCCCGGUGUAGCGGUGAAAUGCGCAGAUAUCGGGAGGAACACCAGAGGCGAAGGCGGCGACCUGGACAGUUACUGACACUCAACUGCGAAAGCGUGGGGAGCAAACAGG
rnacentral:rRNA from 1 species